UGCAUCAGUUGCUCGAUACAGUAGCUGGCCUCCGCCUUGUACUUCGUCCCAUCAGACAAGAAAGUUAGUCUCGUUGCUGAGAUGAAGUUCACCGCUGCCAUCAUGCUCGUCGCACUCCUUACAGCGUUCGCGGUGAUGAUCACUGCAGCCGACGAGAGAAAUGACGAGACGCGCACGGGAGGUGGUUAUGGCUCUGGAUGCCCAGACGCCACUGCCUGCACCACAAGCUGCAAAGCCAAGGGUUUCCUCCUAGGCGUAUGCCUCCAACCCCUACUGCAAAUCUGUUUGUGUACGUAAAUUUGUUGAAGUCGACGACUGACUGGCAAUAAAGCUCGCGCACACAUGCGGUUGUCUAAUUUCUCCCACUACUUUACCAGAUUGAAUCAAUUGUAUAUGUAAAUCUGGUCACAUGUGGUAUUGUAGUCCAUUCUAAACUUACCUGUACUGACGCACCGAAUGAUAUGGUGAAGCAAAUGUUCCAGUGCACCUAUAGGCGCUUUCCCCCUGAAGAAUACGGUUCCCUGCUCGAAAUCUCACGCAAAAUACGUCGACAAGACCAUGUGCUAGAAAGUGCUUAUUUCAAAACAUAAUUUUUGUUUCCAGCAUGAGCGUGAAUUCGUCGAAGC